AAAUCAACAUUAUAACGGYGUAAAGYGUGGUCACRUGUUAUCCAAGUAACUAAGAUUAAAAGGCAUCUGAGUUGUCAUAAGCCCAUGAUGUCCAUAAGGCCUCUAUUCAAAGAAAAUCUUAGACUAACGAUCAAUUNAAAUCCACNNAAACCAGGGCCCAAACUGGGAUUAGAUACCCCACUAUGCCUGGCCCUAAAUCUUGAUGCUCRAUCUUACCGGAGCAUCCGCCUGAGAACUACGAGCACUCCCGCUUAAAACUCUAAGGACUUGGCGGUGCUCCACAUCCACCUAGAGGAGCCUGUUCUAUAAUCGAUGAU
rnacentral:rRNA from 1 species